AUUGAACGCUGGCGGCAUGCUUUACACAUGCAAGUCGAACGGCAGCACGGACUUCGGUCUGGUGGCGAGUGGCGAACGGGUGAGUAAUACAUCGGAACGUACCGCGUAGUGGGGGACAACAAGUCGAAAGAUUUGCUAAUACCGCAUACACUCUGAGGAGAAAAGCAGGGGACCUUCGGGCCUUGUGCUAUGCGAGCGGCAGAUGGCUGAUUAGCUAGUUGGUGGGGUAAAGGCCUACCAAGGCAACGAUUAGUAGCGGGUCUUAGAGGACGAUCCGCACACUGGAACUGAGACACGGUCCAGAAUCCUACGGGAGGAAGCAGUGGGGAAUCUUGGACAAUGGGCAGAAGCCUGAUCCAGCAAUGCCGCGUGCGUGAAGAAGGCCUUCGGGUUGUAAAGCGCUUUUGUCAGGGAGCAAAGACUGAUGGCUAAUAGCCAUCGGAGUUGAGAGUACCUGAAGAAUAAGGACCGGCUAACUACGUGCCUGCCGCCGCCGUAAAAC
rnacentral:rRNA from 1 species